CUGCAGGGAGCCAGGCUUCUUCCACCUGAUCACCUAGUUUAACAGGCAAAGCCACAGGCCCAGCUGGGAAAGAGAGAGGAGAGCACUGGGUGGCCCUCCAAGCUCCUGCUCAGACUCCUUUCUCUGCCAGGCCUUCUUCUCUGGGCUCUCUUGCAAGUGGGUGGUGCUGAGCUCUGGGCUGUACUGGAUGCUGAUUUUCACCAGUGUUUUGAGGUCAGGUCUGGAGUGGGAGCCCCAUGCUGCCCUGAGCCCCAGUCUGCUGGUCAAUAAAACAGGAGCAGCCACAGAGACAGAGGCCCAAACAGCUGGGAAAUGGGAUCAACUAUACAGGACAGUGGAUGACGACUGCUUUCUUGGGCUCUGCAUAGUUCUCCCAAGGAAGGAACUUCUGGGGAAGAUUUCAGUUAACUGAGAUUUCUAGCCACUGUUCAGUUAGUUGAACCCAGUUCCUGAAACUGUGAAAUGUCAGAACUGGAAGGCUCUUAAAGACCAAUUGUCCCAUUUAAGCAAACAUGCUGGGUCAGGGAAGGGACCUUGUCAAGUCACACCCUGGACUCUACUGAGUGUGACAGACCCUCUACAGGAGGCCCUCUGGGGACCAGGUGUGGUUUGGGUGGACAGUGUUGGGGCAGGAGCCUUUGUGAGUCAGACAUUAGGAUCUCCAUAGCUGAAGGUAUUGGGAUGGAAUCUGUUCCAGCCAUGGCCCUUGCAGGAGCACUGAGAUCCAUCCCAGGUGAGAGUUGGACACCUCACUUAUGGCCAUAAUUAUGCCUGUGGGUUUAGACCAAGUUCCGUCUCUCUCUCAGGGUCUCCAUUUCCUCAUCUCUACAAUGAGAGGCUUAGAAAAGAUCUCUAGAGUCUCUACAAUCUUCAUUUUUAAAAGCAGUCAUGAUGUAUGGAUGAAAGCCAUAACUACUAUUUAUUAUCGAAAUAGCUAAGAUUGACCACACUCUCAUUCUGUGCUCAGCCCUGCACUGAGGCCUUUCCCUGUAUCAUUGUCCAUUAUCACAAGGCCCUCAGAUAAGGAGGCUCCAUGGUACAGGCGAGGAGGUGAAGCUCAGGGCAACUCAGGGACUUGUCCAUGAUCAGGCACCCAAGGGAAAGCACUGCACUCAUGUCUGUAGGACCCCAAAACCUGACCUUCAAACAUCAGUCUUAGCUCCCCAGCUGGUAUUGCCAGGGCUAGAACAAGAGAGAUCCCAAUAGAGAUGCCUCCACAGGGUAGUACUAGGUCCUGCCCUAGGAACAGAUGCUCUGGGGAGCUGUCCUGGGUGUAGAAGGCAGUAUCUGCUCUUGGUCCCUCUCCCAGCCCUGCCCCAUGCAACAGUACUGGCCACUUACAAGAGUCCUGGAGGGGAACUGAGGCCAACUUCACAUGCUUUGGGUGGGAAGAGAUGCCCAGAAAGGGUAUGUAUUAUGGCAAAAUGAGUGACUUGCCCAGGGCCACAUGGCCAGCUAGAGGCUCAACUGGGACUCAUGCAGUUGCCUGACUUUCAGGCCACAUCCUUUCUCCUCCAGCCAGUGUUUAUAGGAGAAAUCUGGGCAUUGAUUCUGGAAGCCCUCUUCCGUGCUUCUCUGCAGCCCUGCCACUGUCCCUCUGUGAGGUGCAGACUGCCAGUUACAUUCUUAGAGGAAAUCAAUUUCCCAUGAACAAAACAGCUAUCAUGUCUUCCUUUCUGCUAAACCCACUGCUCCAGGCUUGAAAGGCAGCAAAACACUACGGAUGACUCAAUGCUUAACCAAGCAGGAAAGAAGGUGACUCAAGGUCAGACAGACCUCUGGGACCAGUUCAGCAACGCUGUGGCAGCAACUCUGUCACUAAUCGCCUGAUGCUGCAGAUAACAGAGAGGAUCCUGGCCUUGGACUUUGCUGAGGAGGAGGAGGCAGUGAUUUCCACAACAAAGGGAGACCAGAGUGCCACCUUCCACCAGUCAUUCGCCCAGUAUCUACCGAGUGCUCAUUCUGUCCCAAGCAUUUUGCUAGGGGCCAGGGAACAAGUGGUGAUCAGAAGCAGAUUCCCAGUCCCCCAGGUGCAUAGUCUGGUGUGUGAGUGGAUGGUAAAUGGAGCGGCCAACAAACACACUGGAGCUCUCGGGUGCAGAGUGUCGUGAAGUUUCUGACGGGACAGUUACCCGGGAGAGGAGAGGAAGGGGAGGCAGAGUCAGUUCUGAACCCUAAAAUUGGCAGAGUAAAGGUUGUCACUGCCAAGGCAGGGGUGAAUUCUCAGGUCUCAUCCUUGGCGGCUGUGCAGCAUUAGACAGCGGUGGUCUUUCUGGUCUUUUUGAAGUUCUCUCUCCUGUGUACACCAAUCUGUUCUUACCUGGCCUCUCUGAACGCUUCUCCUCAGGCUUCCUUGUGACUCUACUGUGAAGCUUCCUCAGGGUUCUCUUCUCUCUCUGGGAGUCUCCUGCAGAAACUCCAUUUACUCACUGCUCCCAGCAUCUCCUGCCCUUUCAUCUUAGCCCCCUGCCCCUGCAGGCCAGGCCCCAGGAGCAUCUGGGGUGUGACCACUGGCGCCCCAGGCACAUCUGCUCCGCAGUUCAAACCUCAACCUGCCCUCAACUGCUGCAGUUAAAAGAAAAACCUGGACUCUGGCACCUCCUCCCAUUGCUUAGCAGCUUUGUGACCUUGGGAUGCUCCCAAAGCCCCUGGAGGCUCUGAUUCAUUAUCUCAAAAAUGAGGACAGGGCUCCAACUGCAUCAGCUAUUGUGAAGGUUGAAUGAAAUAGUGUUGCAUGGCUGGGCAUGGUGGCUUAGACCUCUCAGCCCAGCACUCUGGGAGGCUGAGACAGGAGGAGUGCAAGUUCGAGCCCAAGUGGUGCAAUUUCUGAGACCCUAUCUCCAAAAUAUAAAAAAGGGCUGGAGAUGUAGCUCAGUGCAAAGGUACUGGGUUCAGCCCCCAAUACCAAAAAUAGAGAGAGAGAGAAAGAAAGAAAGAAAAAGAAAGAAAGGAAGGAAAUAGUGUUGCACACUGUCCAGCACAGUGCCAACUCUAGCUGGACACGCAGCAUAUAUUCCCUCUGCUCUGGUCAACCUCGUCCUUUUCACCCUCUAUGUUUAUUUGCUCAACAGCUUUUGUCAAGUCCAAUCAUAAAUAUCUCUUGGGUUCAUUCCCUCCUGCAUCCCUUAUGUCAUUGCACUAAUGCAGGACCUUCUGACUGACCUUUUUGCUUUCAGAGUUCCCAUCUGAAAUAUGUUUCCUGGGGCCAAUGCCUCCCUGUACUAUGACACCCAGGUUCUUUAUCAAGUCCUACAAGCUACAUCCCAAGUUGGCUCCCUUUUCUCUGAGACCCUCCUGCCCACCUCCUCCCACACCCCUCCAGGCACUGUCCUUCCAGGAUGCCAGGAAUGGCCACACACCCUUCCUCCUCCGCAUCUCCUCUUGUCUGACCACUUUCACAGAUGAUGUCAGGUUAUGACCUUUGCCAUCUCCCCUCCCUGUACCAGGCUGGACACUCUUUUCUCUGUGCUUCUGCUGUGACCAUUACUGAUACCCUCUGAGGACACAGCAUAAAUGUCAUAAGUGUCAAGGACACCCUGUGUCCUUGGUAGAGGAUCUGCUUUUCCCACAGGGAAAACCUGAUAUCUGGCUCAUCUUUGUGUCCCCCGAAUUGGCACAGGGCCACACAUUUACUCCAGUAAUGAGGUCUCUGGUUCCUAGUGGGCUCCAGUGGUUUGGGAGACUCCACUAAUAAACCAAGAAAAACUGUGGGAAAAUUGCCAGCUGAGGUUAGCUGAGUUUCGUUUCUUUUCCUUUCUUUUCUUUUUGCCUAGUACAUUCUAAGAAGGCAGAGCCUCCCCUUGUUGGUCCUUGGCAAGCUUGGGGCCCAGGGGCUGAACUGUCUGUAUAGUGGGGCCUUGCCCAGUCCUGCUCUCCUUUAUUUUAGUCCACCCCCCCUCCAUAAUCUUAUUCAUCUGGUUCUUGCUUGCUAAGCAGUCCUGUUUCUCUAACUCAAACGAAAGAAGGGACAGACAUCCUCUGCUUUUCUUCCUUUCCCUUACUUCCCAUCUUCUAAACUUUACAGAUAUGUCAGAAUCUUAUAUUACUGCAGCUGAGGUUCAAGGUGGGUUGCUGUAUACAAAGUAUUUAUCGAUAGUGUCUCAAAAAACUAGAGGAAAAUGCUUUUUUGGAGGGGUGGGAAACAGAUGAACUGGGCUUUGCAGAAUGUCUGCUGUAAAUACCCAGUGGAAGGGUAGGAGCGUGGAGUUGUUCCCUUGGGGGAAGCGGGCAGUGGUCUUACUUUGAGUUCAACACACCCUCCCCUGUCUCUGCAGCCAGAAUGCUCCUCUAGGAGGAGGCCAGUUGUGGCUCAUGGGUCAGGUGAAGGCAGGCUAAGGGUGUAGGGUCAGCAGGGUGGACCUCCUGGUCUUUGGGAGGUCUACUCAAAUGAGGCUGAGUAGUCUACAAGACAUCCUAAUUGAGGCAGUGUAUUCCUCAAAGGUAGACCUUAGGUCCUCUGCAUUACAGUCCUCUAGGUGUUUGUUAAACCAGUGGACUCAGAAUCCAGAUCGAAGUGGUGAUGCCCAGCAGUCAGCAUGUGUGACAUCCCUGCCUGGGCCUUGCAUGCACACCUGUUUGUGGGUGAGCAGCUGCAUCUGGCUUGAAAUCCAGACUGGAGUCUUGAGUGGGAAAAGAAUGAAAAUAAGAAUUUUGGCCCACAAUCCAACUGCUGUGUUUUCUACAAAUAUAAAAUAGAACCUACUGUAAACCUAGCAACAAAAAUCAAAUCUCCAGCAAUCUAUAACACUUACUAAUUCUGUUUUGCUUCACCACUAACAAAGAUUUCUGUCUUUUUAAAAAAUUAUUAAUUGUAGUAAAAUUCACAAACAUAAAAUUUACCAGUGUAAACAUUUUUAAGUGUGAAGUUUAGUAGUGUUAAGGACAUUCACAUUGAUGUGGAAUGAAUCUCUAGAAAUCUUCUCAUUUUUCAAAAUUAAAAAAUUGAACCCAUUAAAUGAUGACAAAUUUCCUCUCCCUCCUCAACCUGGCAACCACUCUUCUUUCUGUCUCUAUGGCUUUCUCUGCUGUAGGUCCUUGUGUAAGUGGAAUCAUGCAAUAUUUGUCCUUUUUUUUCUUUUGGCAGGCUUAUUUCACUUACUGUAGCACACUUUCUAAAUGUAAAGAAUUAGUAAGGUACAAGCUGCUCUCAAAUGACAACUGUUUUCUGGGCUCCUCUAGCAGAAUUCUGAUUUUUGUUUUGUUUUGAGCAGUUGUUCUGGGCCCUCAGUUUGCCAAGGCCAAGUGCAGACCUACUCGUGCUUUGCCAGAGGAUUCAGCUGUCCUGGCCAGCUUGGGUCCUCAGUGACGACAGUCUUGCCAAUUUGUUAGAAGUCUUUGAACAUUUUCUUCCUGCAUAAUUUCUACGGUGGAGCUUUUAAAAUUUUCAUUCAAAGAAAAAGGGAGAAAAAUAGACCCAAGUAAGCCUUAGCUUUUGCCCCAAAAGCCAGAAAUCAGUGACUGUCUCCUUCCAGUCUGAAGAUGGUCCCCUUGGUAAUGAAGUCACUCAAUUCCUUCAACUAAAUGAUCCGUUCAGCUUUGAUAUACAAGUUUUAUCUCCUCUAGAAUUUGUGUUCUCAACCCUGAGCUCAUUAGUUCGGGGCCCUGUUGGAGUUUCAGGGUUAAGAAGGCUGGUGUGGAACCUGUCUAGCAAGUUCCCGUGAUCUGGUGAUACACUGUGAGGACCACUGCCCUGGGUGAUCUUUCAACUACAUUGUCCCAGUUCUGCCACAUUAUCUUUCUUGGUUGGAGGCCCCUUCCCCCAAAUCUAAUUUGGGCCUUUCUUCUUCUGAACAGUUUAAACAUUUAAAUAAACAUGAUGAAAUAUUUCUACAGCAAAGUAACAGAGUUCUCCCAAGGUUAGGAAACUCAGUGUGCCCAAAAUUUGUAUCCAUCUGUGCCUAGAAUUAGGGUGCAUUUUGUGAUCAGAACCAAGAGGUGAGUGACUCGAGCUUGGAGGUCAUUUUGUGGCUAGUCCUGGGGUAGGAUCCGAGUCCCCCAUGGCACACUGUAGCAUAGGGAGGACCUACCUGCCCACCUGGCUGAAAGUAGAACAUACCCAGAAAACGUGUUCAAAGUAUACCUGCAAAGUGACAAUGAAGGAACAUACUACAGUGGCCAAGGCUGGUGUGGCCCUACUUCAUUAUCCUCUUCCUUUUCUACCUGCCUUUGGAAAAACUUGAGUUGAAACAGUUAGUACCUGGUGUCUGCUUUCAUCUCCAACCACAGGCAAAUUCUUUGCUCUGAAGAUGUCCCUGGCAGGUGCAGCUUCAACCCUGUGGCAGCUCAGAAUGCAGCAUUAAUCCACCAAGUUCGCAAGAACACCCGAAGAUCUUGAAAAACUUAUUAAAAGAGAAAAUGGUUACCAUUUUACUAAAACAAGAAGAUAGCACACUUCACUUCCCAGAUCUACUUACCAGCAAGUUCCCUCAGCCCCAAGGUAGCUGAAGACUCAGAGGAAGGAAAAUGAAUUUUGAACCCCAGAAAUAGAUACUGUAACGCUGUGUAUCAAAGGCCAAACCAUUUUUGAACAAUGAAUCCCUCUUGCCUUUCACUUUAAUUUUAAAUUCAAUUCUAGUGAACUUGGUCUUGGUUUUUUAAUAAUGAAGCAAAUGAAGAGAAUGAUAACAGGUGCUAGAUAUAGCAAGAAAUAGCAGCUAAUAGUCUAAUAGUGAAUGUAUUACAAAGACCAAAUCCAUGUAUGUCAGCAACUGUCAUGUGACUGGAGGCCACCAAAUGGAGGAGCAGGGAUAUUAGGGAGAUUGUAACACCCUCCAGAUCAACAGAGCAUUUCUGCUCCAUUCAGCCUUUGACAUCCACAGCCACACACAAAACAGUAUACUGUCUUUAUGAAGGCAAGCAGGGAUCUUAUCCACUGUAGAAUUAUUUCCAUCCCCAAACACUUAUAGCAUGGUCAUCAAAGUCUUGGUGCUUAAAAGAUCAGUCUUCAGUGACCUCAGAGUUCCUGUAGGUGAAAUAGCUCAUUAUCUGGUGAUGCAGGACAUCUGAGAUCAGUAAAUGGCCUCUCUUCUACUUGCCUUUCCCUUCAGACAGUGGCAAUUACUGCUACCUCUCUCUCAAGAAAUAAGAAACAGGCCCCUUCUACCUUCACACCUCAAAGGGACCUUGUGUUGUGUUGAUGGCUUGGCCAGGACAUCCUCUUUCUGUACCUCUGCUCUACUUGAGCUAUUUGCACAUGGGAGGAAGCUUGCUAGAGCCAGGGCAGCCUCUGCAGCAGCUCAGGCCUGGGUUCAUGUAUGAACUUAAAAAUAUGACUGUUUGCUCACAAGUGAACACUUCCACUUUCUAAACACCUUCACCAUCCAUUUUUCACUGGGCUUUGUUGCAUCCUGGGAGGAGGAUAGGGCAGACAGUAGCAGUCCUAUUUGACUCCAGUCCAAGAAGAUGGUGGUGCCAUGCCCAGGUCACCUGUGAUUAAUGGUGGAGGUCUCCCCUUGGGUGCACAAGCUUUCCCAAAGUGGGAGAGGCUAGAGGGCAGGGAGAGGUGGCCAGUGUCCUACUCUAGCCCCUGUUCUGGCUUUCUUCUCAUUGGGGUGAUCUAGCUGAUCCGGAGUAUGGUCCAGGUCUAGGCCUUACCCUUGGACUCGCACCCUGUGCGUUGUCUCUGGAGGGGCUUGUUGAGUAUUCAUUCCUGCCUGGAGGCCAAGGCUAGGGCACCCAGCAGUGCCGGCUGAAAGUUCCUGGUGGGGCAAAGGGAGGCAGUUGUAUUUGACAGUCACCAGGGCCACAGACUUAAAUAAAAUGGAAGUGUGGAGGGAGUGGGCAUUGGGUCCCGUGACAUCAGUCCACCCCACUGCUGUGACCACUUGUGAGGAAGCUGGUGGGUCCUGAGUGACAGCUCCUGCUAGACCCUGGGAGCCAGUCCUAUUAUAUAUUUUUCUGGGGUGAUGCUUGGCCCUCAUUGUGGCUGACUUCUGAGCAAGUUCCUAGGGUGGAAGUCACUUUGUGAGGCAACCAGUCUUUUCUGAGGGCCCUACUCUCUGCACACAAGAGUUAGGGAGGUGGCAGGGGUUAGAUGGCUUGCAGAUUCCCUUUCUGGAUAGGACUGACUUCCCUGCAGAGAGCCAUAACAAUGUCAUAUUGUCAGAACUAUGAAAUAAGUGUACAUGUGAAUGUACUUUUUAAAUGAUCAUUUCAUCUAAAGAGGACCUUGGGUUGCUCAGUGGUUCAUCUGAAAUUGAUUCCCUGCCAUCUCUUCUCCAAACAAAACCAGGACAGAUCCUGGGGGCAGCAGAGAAGCUAAGGAAGCUGCUUGCCCAUUGUCUGCAGCUCUGUACCUGGUGAGGCUUCAGCCCAGAGGUCCUGCCUGGGUGGCAGACAGAGGAGCUUGUCCCAAGGGCUUGGUGGUAGUGACUCAUCUCUGAAUGGCUUCUAUCCAUUGCUUGACCCAUUCCUCCCUGCUUUCCUUUCCAAGAGCCAAGUCAUGCUAUGCGGUACUCCAUGGAGCCUUUUUCACUGGAGAAAGAAAGGGAGGUCCACUGCAUUUGCUGGGAUGUAGAGCAACAUCUUGUUUUGUUGAUUUGCCUUCCCCUUGGCCCUGGUGAGAAACAAGUUGUGUCAGUUGGAAAGACUUGAGGAGAAGAGGUCACACCACUACCCUAGUUUUAUGCAAAUAUUAUUGUGGGAGCAUUUGGUUCAUAAAACUCCAGCAAUAUAAUUCUAGCUGCGUGUGACUGUCCUUGAGUAGUGAUUUUGCAGUGAUGGCUGGCACUCUGGGCCCAAAAAUAUUAUCAGGGUACUUUGUGUCUGUCACUGUGUUUGAAAGACCCUUAAUUUCUACCCAAUAAAACCAAUCAAGUGGUUCAUCAGGCAAAGAGUCUGGCUGUGUGUGUGUGUGUGUGUGUGUGUGUGUGUAAGUAUCUCUCCAUGUAUGUGUGUAUGUGUGGAUUGGGUUGUACUGGGCUAAUGGCAGCACAGCCCAGUGAGGGGAGGUUGUCAGGAGUUCUCAGGAGCUCAAGACCAUCCGGGCACAUCUUUGGGAAGUGUUGGGGAAGACCUAUGGUGUCUGGCAGAAGUGGCAAUCUAAGCAGGGGAGGCAGUGGACUCACAGGAUGGGCUCAAAGGUGAGAUCAAUGCAAAGUAAAGUGGAGUGCUGAACUGACAGUCAAGAGUACAUGAGGACAUGGAGAGAGGACCUUGGGACUUCAUUAGCAGGGAAGAAGGUCCCUAGGGGCUGGAGCUACCUGGAGCAGGAGAAGUUUGAGAUACACUCAUGCUUAGACACAGAUCCUACAGCUCUUCAAACCUGCUCUCUCUAAGUAAAACCUCUCUAUCAAGAUCCAAAGUCACAUCAAAGGCACUUGAAUAGUAAUAACACCUCAUGAAGAAACAGGGCUGGGGUUAUACCUCAGCGGCAGAGUGCUUGACUAGGAUGAGUGAGGCCCCAUGUUUGAUCCCCAGAACUUAAGAAAAACCCACCACCAAUAACAAAUUUUUAUGUCAGUCUGUGUGAGUGCACAUAUAAUAGAACCAAAUCAUUUUUUUUUCAAAUUCAUGGGCAAACAGAUAAGAUGGCUUGCAUACCUCAGAUGUGCUUCUUUAGAAAGUUGCAAGCCUUUUCCAUAAAAUUUCUCAAGGACUGGUGUUUUUGUGCCCUCUUUGCCUUCAGACUUGUUUAGGGGCUGUUUAUUCCUUCUGGCUGUUGACCAUUCAGACAUCAGAUUCAGCCCUCUCCUUAGUGUCAGUUGUCACAGGUUCCAGAGUGAAAGGGAAUAGGGGAGGGCAGCUUCCCGUGGUCUGGGCAGCCUCCCGACAUAGGCAUUCCUCGGGGCCUGGCCCAGUUCCACUGCUCUGACCCCUGUCUUCCCUCUCAUCCUUCUUUGCCUCCCUGUCCUCAUCUCCCCACCUCCCUCCCGACAGUGAUCACAUUCCUUCUAUUUCCUCUCUGCAGCAGUUUAAGCAGUCUCUGAGUGCCAGGUCUGCCGAGCCCAACUUGCAGUUCAUCCUCCAUCUACCACCUUCCGAAGAUGUUUUCUCAAAGAAAACCCAUUUCCUCUAACUCAGGACCUUGCACCUGUAAGACAGGCGGCAGAACCACUGAGCUAAAUCCCCGGCCCCAUUUACCAUUUCUUGAGAGCUACAUUCUUGGUCCACUGGAGCUACACAGGACAUGCUCAGAAGGAGCUGCAAUCUGGGGGAAGAUCCAGCCAUUGGGGUGGACUGAAUUAUUGUUCCAAUCUCUCAUGCCUUGGUGUGUGAAUAUCCUUUGCCAUGGAAUUAUAGACCCUUCUAUAGAGGCAGACCACACUUGCUUUGCCCUUGGCUUCAGGCUUAGCCAUGUGUAUGGGUUGGUUUGAUUGAAGGAUGGUAAUAGAUGGGAUACAAGAGAAGGCCUCUAACAUGCUUGGAUUGUCAGGGUCACCACCCCGCUCCUCCUUGUAUUUCCACUAUGGCCAUGAGAAGAAUUUGCCUUUGGAGAUCUGCUGCUGCUUCAGCCUGGGCCAGAUCAAACCUGUGUCAAGCAAAGCUGCUUUGCAAAGCCCAGUCAGUCCCACAACUUGAUGCAGAGCUUCCAACUAAGCCCAGCAGAGAUGGGUUCGGCCCAGCCCCAGAGAAUGAGAAAUAACACUUGUGUUGCAGAGAAUUAUGUGAUUGUUUGUUACAUAGCAAGAGCUGGGUGGCAGAAAUAUGCAUGCAAGCCAGGUACAGUGACACAUGCCUGUAAUCCCAGCACUCUGGGAGGCUGAGGCAGGAGGAUUUAAAGUUCAAGUUCAGUCUCAUAAACUUAGGAAUUUUUCUAUCCUAUCUCAAAAUAAAAAUUUAAGAAAAGGGCUAAGAUGUAUCUCAUUGCAAAGGUCCUGUGUUCAAUCCCCAGUGCCAAAAAUAAAAAAUAAAAAAAUAAAAAAAAUAAAAGAGGUUUGCAGAAGGAAAGCAGGCGUGUUUAGCAAAUAGGUAUUUUUUCAGUUUAUGUAUAAAGUGGCUUUCUCUAAGUGGAGGUUAAGUCAGAUUAUAGAGGAUUGCUACUAUCAAGGAGUUAGAAUUCUUUUAGUGUUGAGGGCAUGUGUUAUUUUCUUGGCAACCCAGCAUCUGAAUCCCCUUUCAAAGUUAGCGAAGAGCUCAGCUCUGAAAGUAGGAGUUGAAACUACAAAAUACUCCCUUUCCCAGCCUCCUUGCUGGGAAAGGAGUGGGCACAUGACAGACACUCAACCAAUAAGUUGCACAGGGCCCAAGGUGAUUGGCAAAAGUCACAAGAGUGGAUUCUGGUGAGGGUGGCACCAGCAGGGGCAGGCAGCAGCUGCACACUGCACUUCCAGGUUCAGCUUUGGUGGCAAUGGGGUCCUCAUCGGAUCAGUACAAUUCUAGGCAUCAUCUCUAGGUUGUAGUCUCUUAGAAUUGUUCCUAGACUGAAAGGAAAUUAAUGAAAUCUCUUUUGAACUUUUAAAUAAAUCUUUUGUUUGAAAACUAGCCAGUGUUGGUUUCUGUUGCUUGCAGCUCAGAAUCCUGGCUGAUAAAAUAUGGUUGCUCUGGAGUAUAAGUGAAGGUUUCUGAGCUGAAGAGUGAUCGGAUCAAGCCAUUCAGCAGCAGGAGAAAAUUCCCAGAGGAGGAGGAAAAUGGACAUCAAGAUGAUAAGAUGAUUUUGGACAUUUGUGUCUGUGUGUGUGCACAUGCAAAUGGGUAAAUAGACCUUUCCCUAGGUAAAUAAAUUCACUGGGUAAAUAGAUCUUUCCCUAGUGUCAGAGGUUUGAGACUCAGUAAUCAUCCUGUCUGUCCUUUUGUGCUUUUGUCAGUACACAAAGCUGCCAGGAGUCCAAGAGCCAGGAGUCCUAGCCAUGUUGCACAGUUCAGGGCCUCAUGCUAAGUCUAGAUGGGAGGAGGCAGGGUCAUUGAGGCCUCUGCCUGCCUCUCACAUCUAGACCUUGGUCCUGUCUGGAAUGAGAGGUGGAUCUGCAAAGCAUCCACAGCCAGCCAGGUGAGGGUCCUCACAACAAGGGGGCCCAGGGUGGGGGUCUGGCCAUAUGGUCAGUCCUGCUGCAUGCGCAGGGUCCAGUGAGACUGUCACAUGGUCAUGGAAAGACAGCACGUGAGGCAGGCUCUGUGAGAGAGACGGGUGGAGCCCUUUUCCUGCUUCUGAGGCCAUGCCUCCUCGUGCUCCCUAAUCAUCCACCCUUCAGUUUUAGCUUUGCAGGAAUGUUCUACAAAUGCAAGCCUACUUUUAUUUCCCUACCUGGCCUCUUUCUCUUAGAAUAAUUCUUUUGAGAUUCAUCCAUGUAGUAGCAUGUGCCUCUACUUCCUUUUUAUUGCUGAGAAGUAUUCUUUCAUAUAGGUGUACCUUGAUUUAUUUACCCAUUGGCCAGUUAAUGGGUGCCUGGGUUGUUUUCAGCUUGGGACUUUUAUAAAUAAGGCUUUUGUGAAUAUUCACAUCCAGAUUUGUGUGGGUACACACUUUCAUUUCUCCUAAGUACAUGCCCAGGAUUGGAAUUUUUGCAUUGUGCAGGCGGUGUUUGUUAGCUAAAUAAGGAGUGCUGUUCUUUCGCCAGGUGGCUAGGCCAUUUACCCACCUGUCAGGAAUAUAAGAGUUCUAGUUGCUCCACUGAUUCUGUCAGUGCUUAGUAUUGAUUGAGACACUGCUUUCUUAUUCAUGUGUUCUAAUGUCAUGGGAUUCUCUAACAAAUAUUUUAAUUUCAAUUUUUGUAAAAAAAUUUAAUAAAUAUUUUUGUCUAAAUGGG
rnacentral:lncRNA from 1 species